rnacentral:rRNA from 1 species
UGCAGUCGAGGGGCAGCACAGAUAGCAAUAUUGGGUGGCGACCGGCAAACGGGUGCGGAACACGUACAGAACCUUCCUUUAAGUGGGGGAUAGCCCAGAGAAAUUUGGAUUAAUACCCCGUAACAUCAUUGAGUGGCAUCAUUUAAUGAUUAUAGAUUUAUCGCUUAGAGAUGGCUGUGCGGCUGAUUAGGUAGUUGGUGUGGGUAACGGCCCACCAAGCCUUCGAUCAGUAACUGGUGUGAGAGCACGACCAGUCACACGGGCACUGAGACACGGGCCCGACUCCUACGGGAGGCAGCAGUAAGGAAUAUUGGUCAAUGGAGGCAACUCUGAACCAGCCAUGCCGCGUGAAGGAUGAAGGUCCUCUGGAUUGUAAACUUCUUUUAUCUGGGACGAAACACUCUUAUUCUUAAGAGCUUGACGGUACCAGAAGAAUAAGCACCGGCUAACUCCGUGCCAGCAGCCGCGGUAAUACGGAGGGUGCAAGCGUUAUCCGGAUUCACUGGGUUUAAAGGGUGCGUAGGUGGGUCUGAAAGUCAGUGGUGAAAUCUCCGGGCUUAACCUGGAAACUGCCAUUGAUACUUCAGGUCUUGAAUUUUCUGGAGGUAAGCGGAAUAUGUCAUGUAGCGGUGAAAUGCUUAGAUAUGACAUAGAACACCAAUUGCGAAGGCAGCUUACUACGGGAGUAUUGACACUGAGGCACGAAAGCGUGGGGAUCAAACAGGAUUAGAUACCCUGGUAGUCCACGCCCUAAACUAUGAUUACUCGACAUUCGCGAUACACAGUGAGUGUCUGANCGAANNCAUUAAGUAAUCCACCUNNNNGUACGAUCGCAAGAUUGAAACUCAAAGGAAUUGGCGGGGGGUCCGCACAAGCGGUGGAGCAUGUGGNUUUAAUUCGAUGANACGCG